rnacentral:lncRNA from 1 species
UUGUGGCAGGGUGUUGCAAUGUUGUUCAGCUGGCUUCAGAUUCCUGGUCUCAAGCAAUCCUCUGCUUCCCAAGUAGCUGGGGACACAUCACUGGACCUGGCUGACAAUUUACAUUUAUAAAGGAAUUUUUAGUAGUAAAGGAAAAUACUCCAGGAAGAGAACUACUCUGCUACAACGUUUAUCACCUGAGGUCAUCUGCAUAAUAAGGCAACAUUUACUCACCAUGCACUUUCUCCUUUUCCCCUACCAUAACGUAUCUCCACCUCCUGGAAGCUCCACACCACCAUUCCUUUCUGUUGCUCAAAAUAAUAUAUAAGCCUCAGUUAUCUGGCUGCUUCUUCAAGUCUCAUGUUUUUAUGGAACUCCUAUGCAUGCAUAUAUAAAUAGAAUUGUUUCUCUCCUGUUAAUCUGCCUUAUGUUAAUUUGUAGACUAUGCAAAGAAUAUAUAAGGGUAGGAGGAAGCAAUUUUUUCACUCCUACAUAGGAAAUACAAAAUACCUCUCUCUGGGCCCAGAUAACACAUAAAAAUGACAAGGUUUCUAUUAUGAUUAUUGUCAUUAAAAGGUAGAUCUGAGCCCGGCACUGUGGGGCUUGCCUGUAAUCCCAGUGACUUGGGAGGCUGAGACAGGAGAAUUGCAAGUUCAAGGCCAGCCUCAGCAACUUAGUGAGGCCCUAAGCAACUUAGCAAGCCCCUGUCUCAAAAUAAAAAAUAAAAAGGACUAGGGCUAUAGCUCAACAAUAAAGCCCUCUGGGUUCAAUCUCUAGUAUGUAUAAAU